GGACUUUUGAGUUAACACUGAAAUGAAUUAAUGCUGAAAUGAAUUAAGACUUUGGGAGACGGUUGAGAAGCCAUGACUCAUUUUAAAAUGUGAGACAUGCCUUUCACCUUCUGCCAUGAUUGUGAGGCCUCUCCAGCCAUGUGGAACUGUGAACACACAUUGUUCAUCCCCUCAGGAGGACACAGCUUUUGAGAUACCAUCUUGGAAGCAG
rnacentral:lncRNA from 1 species